rnacentral:rRNA from 1 species
UACAGAGGGUGCAAGCGUUAAUCGGAAUUACUGGGCGUAAAGCGUGCGUAGACGGUUAUGUAAGUCGGGUGUGAAAGCCCCGGGCUCAACCUGGGAAUUGCAUUCGAGACUGCGUAGCUAGGGUGCGGAAGAGGGAAGCGGAAUUUCCGGUGUAGCGGUGAAAUGCGUAGAUAUCGGAAGGAACACCAGUGGCGAAAGCGGCUUCCUGGUCCAGCACCGACGUCAGGCACGAAAGCGUGGGGAGCAAACAGG